rnacentral:rRNA from 1 species
GGUGAACGCUGGCGGUGCGCCUAAUACAUGCAAGUUGAGCGAGAUUAGUUUGGGUUUACUUAAAGCUAUGACAGCGGCGGACGAGCGAGUAACACGUAAGAACCUGCCCUAUACUCAGGGAUAACACAUCGAAAGGUGUGCUAAUACCGGAUGGUCCCGCAAGGGUAAAGCUACGGCGGUAUAGGAGGGGCUUGCGGCUUAUCAGUUAGUUGGUGGGGUAAAGGCCUACCAAGACGAUGACGAGUAGCUGGUGUGAGAGCAUGACCAGCCGCGAUGGGACUGAGACACGGCCCAU